UUUAGUCUUCUAUUCUAUGUCUAUUCUACAGUGUAUAUUGAGGGUCUAUGCUGUGUGUUAUCUGUGUUUAAUCUCAGGGUGCUAUGAUGGUUGUGUGUGUUAACUGUGUUUAAUCUCAGGGUGCUAUGAUGGUUGUGUGUGUUAACUGUGUGUGGAGUCUGGGGAGACAGUGGGUGUUUGAGACUGGAGAUGCUGUGAAGAGCUGUCCUACUGUGGACCCCCUCGCAGGCUUGGUGAUGGUGGGGUCGCAGGAUGGCCACGUCUAUGCCCUUGACCCACAGGUUUGGCAGUGUGUGUGGACGCACCACUGUGGGAGUGGAGAUGUGUUCUCCUCACCCUGUCUCGAUCCCUCUCUGACAGCAGUGUGUCGCCACCCUUGGUGGAAACUUCCUCUGUCUCCAUCCUGACACUGGUAUUGUCCUGUAGAUGUAUUCCAGGAAGACUACAUUUUUCUCCAUCCCAAGCUGCUUCAUUGGAAACCUAAUCAUCGGCUCUGUGGAUGGAAACAUCUGCUGCCUCACCCACACAGGGAAAAUGCUGUGGCAGUAUGUGACCAAGGGCAGUCUUCUCAUCUUCUCAUCGCCAUGCAUCAUACCAGACAAGCAGAGCAUUGUGUGUGGGUCACAUGACGGGUGUGUGUACUGUCUGAACUGUGCUGACGGCUCAUUGAUGUGGCGUUUCCAGAGGGUGUACUCCAGCCCCUGUGUGUUUGAGGGGUCACCCUGAGGUAUGGAAGGUACAUUGGUGGGCCUGGCCUCCACAGAUGGGACCCUGUGUGUUUGAGGGGUCACCCUGAGGUAUGGAAGGUACAUUGGUGGGCCUGGCCUCCACAGAUGGGACCCUGUGUGUUUGAGGGGUCACCCUGAGGUAUGGAAUGUACAUUGGUGGGCCUGGCCUCCACAGAUGGGACCCUGUGUGUUUGAGGGGUCACCCUGAGGUAUGGAAGGUACAUUGGUGGGCCUGGCCUCCACAGAUGGGACCCUGUGUGUUCUGGAUGGAGAGAAUGGAACUCUGAGAGCCUCUCUUUGCCCAGGGAGCUCCUCUCCUGUGGUGUGGCAGCGCUCCUGGUGGUCGAAUGACGCAAUGACUUUGUGUACUGUGUGGAGCCGACAGAUGAGCUCAAAUAGUUUCCUGAGAUGACAUGUAUGACAUCAUGUAUUUUUGUACUAUGUUAUAAUAUUAAAG